UUAGGGAGCUACCAUUUGAUUUUUAUGGGGGGGCUAGGAUGAAAUUUGAAAAAAAAUAGGCAGGACAGGAGUUUUGAGUAAAAAAAAGGCAGGAUGAGACACUUGCAAAAAAAAAAAGUCAGGACGACAAUUUAGGUAAAAAAAGUCAGGAUAAACUAUAAAAAAAAAGGCAGGACCGAACAGAGUGAAAAAUAAAAAGGCAGGACAGAGAUUACAGCUAAAAAAAAAUGCAGGACAAAAUUUUUCAUCCUAGCCCCCCCAUAAAAAUCAAAUGGUAGCUCCCUUAUUUUCUUAGCAUGGGCCUAGUUUUCGAAAGCAUUGUUACACAAAGGCUAAUACAGCAUAUGAAACGUUUCAGACUGUAAAUAAAGCUUUUGUGGUUAGUCAAAAUCAUGAUGGUCUUAUAAAAACAAUAUAUUAUAACGAACUUUUAUUUAAAAGUAUAAUCCAUCGUCUGCAUUUAAAAUACCUUGUUUACUUUAAUAAUAACGCUAUGGUUAAUAUAUUAAAUUAAUAUACAUAUAUAUAUGAUGUUCAAAUGAUAAUAACAGUAAAAGUAGAGGAAUCAAAUAAAUGUAUAAAAGGUUAUUAACCGUCAAUUUUUUGUUAAAACACAGCUUUUGUGGUGAGGUAUUUAAACAAAAUAAUUCUAUAUGCAAAUGUCUUCUGUUGUAAUGUAAAACGAGUGAGAAAUUUUUGUUUACAAAAAGAAUAUAAAAAAGAAAGAAUUCCAAAGUAAAUUUAAAAAGGGGAAUCUCAUAGAAAUAUGACAUAAUCAAACGCUAGACUUUAUCAACCCAAUUGUAACAGUACGAAUAGAAAACAACUGUCAUAAUUUUGACUUGAUACAGGUAUUUUCCUAAGAUAAUGGUGAAUUAAAAUUGAAUGUACAGCUCGUAAUCCUCCCAAUUGUAUGAUAGUUAUUUGUAGUAUUGUUAUUUUUACAAAACAGUGGGGCGUCAAACCAAAAUAGACAUAAUAAAUUAUGGGCACACAUUCUAGGAUACAGCAGCCAAAUUAGUGUCAACAAACAUCACAGACAUAAGACACAAAUGACCAACAUUGAUCAACUUUCUAUAACAAACAUACAAAUAAUUUAGACGCCAAAAUAGUAUUGACUUUUUCUCUAGACUCAAGCUGGCAGACCCUUUUUAUCACCACCAGACUAGUUAAACCUCACAACAAAAUGUCGUCGGAAGUCAAAUUCGAUAAAAUACGUAUUGGGGACACCCACUUUAUUUUUAACAUAUUUAUUUAUAGUGGAUUGGGAAAGAAGUUAUUGUAACUUAUAUUAAUCCCUUUCCACUUUGCGGGUGCGUUGUCUCGGUAGUCCUUUAUAGCCUACGAUUAUGCGCUGGUAUGACGAAUAGCUAUUGAAUAGUACUGAAACGUGAGGGUAAAGAAUUUCUUGGCUAAGUAUUUUCAAAGGUCAAACUUUUAGUCCGUAACUCGAACAAAAACCCGCUAAACUUCGCAUUAGGGUCACCCACGACGAGAGAGUUGAUUAUAGAUGCUGUCCUAACGAAUAGCCAUUGGAUAGUACUUAAAUGUUAGGGUAAAAACAUCUAGGAUGAGCAUUCUUUAAAGUCCGAACAUUUCGUCCGUAACACACAAAAAAGUACGCAUUAGAGUCACCCACAUGUUAACUCAUUGCCGCGGCACUUCUGUAUGGCUAAGGAUUGCACAUUCUACUUUAAUAAAUAGCUAUUGGAUAGUACUACAGCGGGUAUAGGUAAAGAAUUUCUCAGGUAAGCAUUUUUAAAGGCGAAAAACACGAAAAAAAGUCAAAUUUGAUAAAAUACGCAUUUGGGUCACCCACUUUCCAACCCUUUGUCUCGGCAAUUUCUUUUUUUCUAACAAGGGAUUAUAGCUGUUGCCCCUACUAAAGGUUAUUGAAUGGUACUACGACAUGACGAUAAAUAUUUUCUAUGGUAAGCAUUCUUAAAGGCAGAUAUUUCCGUCUGAAAUACCAAAUAAACGUAAAAUUUGAUAAAAUACGCAUUUAGGUCACCUACUUUCCAACCCAUUGUCUCGACAGUUUUUUUACCGCUAGGGAUUAAAGACACUGCCAUAAUGUAUAGCUAUGAAAUGGUACUACAACGUGACGGUAAAUAAUUUAUAAGGUAAGCAUUCCUGAAAGCCGAAAAUGUCGUCCGAAACAUUGAAAUCAAGCCAUAUUCGAUAAAAUACGCAUUAGGGACACCCACUCUCCGACCCAUUGUAUCGGUACUUCUUCAUAGCAAGGAAUAAUAGACUCUGUCCUAACGAAUAGCUAUUGAAUAGUAAAACGUGAGGGUAAGCAACUUCUGAGAUAAGCAUUCUUAAAGGCCUAAUAUUUCGUACGUACACGGGAAAAACUGCUAUAUGACCAUUUAUAAUCACACGGCGACAUAUAAAAAAUCGAGGAGCAAGUGAUGAGAACUUAUUUUAAUAAGAUUGCAAAACUGAUCUUAUACAACUGAACUAUAGUUGGUAUAUGCACUAGCAUAAUCAGUGUUUUAUAACUAAAUAAUUAUUGAUGUGACAAAACUGUCAUUCAAUAUCAAUCAACUUAAACAAAUAGGAAGAAAAGAGAAUGUUGAUUGCAAAUGAAAUAUGCGUAGGAGCUACAUGUUGUGUAACUUCAAUACUUAAGCGCCCUCUUACGGUGUAUGUAAUUUCUGUGUCAUUUGGUCUCUUGUGGAGAGUUGUCUGAUUGGCAAUCAUACCUCAUCUUUCUAUAUCUAUAUUAUGCAAUAAAGAAUAGAGAACAAUGCAGUGCUAAACUACAAUAAACAGAGAAAAAUUAACAAAGUAUAUAAACAAUAGAGAAAAGUGACAUAUAAAUUAGAUCAAAUAGAAGUAAAUUUGAAGGAUCCCCAAUUCAGAUCCUCAUGAAAUACCACAGACAAGCGUAGUUUUACUUUAAAGCUGAGGGUGCAAAGGUAAAUGUCCUUUUAGUUGAUUAUUUGGAAUUUGCAAACUGUUUAUGUUUGUAGACAUAAUGUUUUUUCUAUAAGAAAUCUGUAAACAGAAUCUAUAGAACAGUCUUGGUGUAUGUAGAAACAAUAGGUUAAUGUCCUUAAGGUUGCGGUUUUGUUUUAACAUGUAAAAGAAGUGAAAACCCAUCAAAGAUGUAAGGCUAAUUGGUACGCUAGACGCUUGUUUUGUUUAUAUAACACAUAUGUGAUGCUCGAUUAAAAACAGUUAAGAGGCAUAAUAAGUCAUACAAGUGAGAGGUUUAGCUAGCUAUAAAACCAGGUUCAAUCCACCAUUUUCUACAUUUGAAAAUGCCUGUACCAAGUCAGGAAUAUGACAGUUCUUGUCCAUUCGUUUUUGAUGCGUUUUGUUAUUUGAUUUUGGCAUGUGAUUAUGGACUUUCCGAAUUGAUUUUCCUCUGAGUUCAGUAUUUUUGUGAUUUUACCUUAUAAUCAGGCAGCUGUGGUACGAAUUCAGAUCAAGACCUAUGUAGGUUCGAGGUUGACUUGAAAUCAUUAUUUUUUAAAUUAAAUCUGAACAUACUAUUUACACAUUGUGACAUGGAUGGAAAUUUAUCGCACUGACACUUUUUACUUGCAUGAAAAUACGGAUUUUGUAAUAUAAAAAUGUGUUGUUACAAAAUUCUGGAAAUUAGAUAAAAUUGAGGAAUACAUCUUCCUCAUGCAAUUCUCUCUUCCUUUCCCGAAUUUGGCUAUACUUUUUUUAAAACUUUGUUGGUUUAUAGCCUCUAAUAUUUUUAAUUAUAGGUGUAACACCACUAAUUCGGGCCCGGCCAGAAAGCACAUACCAGAAAGUAGUACAUAUUUAACACAAAAUAGUUCCUACGCAUGAGUGUAACUUUCAAAAUAUGUAGGAUAUUUAGGUAUUUUUGGCAUCAAAUGAAAGCUGAAGGACUGGUGAUCAUUGUAGAACACUUUUAAAAAGAGGGUACAUUUUGUCUGUUUGUCAGAUCUGAAGUACCUGUUUUGGUACAUCCGAAGUUCCGGGAACCAGUUCUUUCUUAUAUGCAAUUAAAGGUAUGUUGACAUUUUCAUUACAAGACACCAUAAAGUGUUGCUUUGACAUGUAAUGAUUGCCAAGUUAAUUGAACUUAAAAUAAAAGAGGUGUGCCUACUUGAAAUGGAGGAAUUUAACAUAGAAAGCAAUGGGACCAUGAAUUAGUGGUGUACUUCCUAUAAGCUUUGGAAUAUCAAACACUGACAGGACAGUGAUUGUUGAAAUGCGCAGCUGGUGUUAAACAAAUAGGUACCGUUUAUGUUUUUAUUUAUAUUAGAAUGCAGAAUCACGCAUAACGAUAAAAGCUGUAACGAUAGGAAAUAGCUUCUGGUUUUCUUACUAUUCACUUUGAUAAAACAGUUGUACUUAAGAAUCUUUUUGGAUCACAAGAAAAAACUUUGUACCCAUUGAGCUCUCGCUUAAACUAGAGGCUCUCAAGAGCCUGUGUCGCUCACCUUGGUCUAUGUGCAUAUUACCAAUGGACACAGAUAAAUUCAUGACAAAAUGGUGUUUUGGUGAUGGUAAUGUGUUUGUAGAUCUUUCUUUACUGAACAUUCUUGUUGCUACAAUAAUCUCUAUCUAUAAUGAACUUGGCCCAGGAAUUACAGUGGAAAAUAUUUCCUAAAAAUUUACAAAAAUUUACAAAAAUUUAUGAAAAUUGUUAACAACUGACUAUAAAGGACAAUAGCUCCUUAAGGGGUCAAUUGACAAUUUUGGUCAUGUUGACUUAUUUGUAGAUCUUAUUUUGCUGAACAUUAUUGCUGUUUAUAGUUUAUCUCUAUCUAUAAUAAUAUUAAAGAUAAUAACCAAAAUCUGCCAAUUUUUCUUAAAAUUACUAAUUCAGGGGCAGCAACCCAACAACAGGUUGUCCGAUUUGUCUGACAGGGGUGUGGAAAUGCAAUGCCCGACUCGCCUGACUCGUACAUUUGAACAACCGGACAAGUAAUUAUUUUUGUCUUGGGUGCCCGUCUCUGCUGUUGUUUUUUAUUUGGUCGGGUUGUUGUCUCUUUGACACAUUCCCCAUUUCCAUUCUCAAUUUUAUUACAAGUAAAAAAAUAUACAACAUGUACAAGACAAAGUUCAAAUCCAACAAAAACAUAAAAUUAAUUUCAAAACGUAUAAAGAUGUUUAAUUUAUGUAAAAGAAACCAAUCUUCAGCAAGUAAAAACAUCAAUGUUCAUGACGAUAAAUAUUACAUGAUACUGGAAAUAGAUUGAUUGCCAAAAUAAAUAAAAAUAAGUAUGCGAACCAGAGUCGCGUAACAUUGCAUUGGCUUUGUCCAUUGACCCUGGAUCGUCGAUUAAGUUUUAUCCAUCAUUUAGCGGUUGUGUCAUUUCUUUAAAUUUUGUAUCGAGAUUCAGAUUGACAAAUACGUAAUAAAAAGCUGGGCAAGCAAGACAAAAAGAAUCAUGAGUCGAGUAGAAAACCUUAAAUGCAAACGGAGGACACAGAGUAUUUAAAAAAAAAAAAAAAUCACUGUCCUCAAAUUUAGUAUAUUAUGUACCUACUCGCUACAAUAUUUAUUCCAAAACUGCUGCAAAAUUGUCCUUUACCUGUCAUUUCAUUGGUUGGUUUGCUGUUAGGUUUCUGUCCCACUGAUGUUAACCCAUUUCCUUCUUUCCUAAUUUUUACACAUAUAAACAAAUGGAUUUCAUUCGUUUGUGAUGCACAAUAGUGCUAAGUAAGAAUCAGGGCAAGUAAAUUUUUUUCCGGACAAGUAAAAUUUUUAGUUUUACUUGCCCAGGAACAAGUGCUCACAAUAAAUAUUUCUACACCCCUGUCUGAAAAUUUCAGGGUAGAUAGAUCUUGACCUGAUAAACAAUUUAACCUCAUGUCAGAUUUGCUCUAAAUUGCUUUGGUUUCAGAGAUAUAAGCCAAAAUCUACAUUUCACCCCUAUAUUCUAUUUUUAGCCAUGGCGGCCAUCUUGGUUGGUUAACCGGGUCACGCCACACAUUUUUUAAACUAAAUACCCCAAUGAUGAAUUUGGCCAAGUUUGGAUUAAUUUGGCCCAGUAGUUUCAGAGAAGAAGAUUUUUGUAAAAGAUAACUAAGAUUUACGAAAAAUGGUUAAAAAUUGACUAUAAAGGGCAAUAACUCCUAAAGGGGUCAACUGACCAUUUCGGUCAUGUUGACCUUUUUGUAAAUCUUACUUUGCCGAACAUUAUUGCUGUUUACAGUUUAUCUCUAUCUAUAAUAAUAUUCAAAAUAAUAACCAAAAACAGUAAAAUUUCCUUACAAUUGUCAAUUUAGGGGCAGCAACCCAACAACGGGUUGUUAGAUUCAUCUGAAAAUUUCAGGGUAGAUAGAUCUUGACCUAAUAAACAAUUUUAUCCCAUGUCAGAUUUGCUCUAAAUGCUUUGGUUUUUGAGUUAUAAGCCAAAAACUGCAUUUUACCCCUAUGUUCUAUUUUUAGCCAUGGCGGCCAUCUUGGUUGGUUGGCCGGGUCACCGGACACAUUUUUUAAAGUAGAUACCCCAAUGAUGAGUGUGGCUAAGUUUGGUUUGAUUUGGCCCAGUAGUUUCAGAGGAGAAGAUUUUUGUAAAAGUUAACGACGACGGACGACGACGCCGGACGCCGGACGCCAAGUGAUGAGAAAAGUUUACUUGGCCUUUUAGGCCAGGUGAGCUAAAAAGGGGGAAAAGGCAGUUUGUUUCAUGGCUACAGUCAUUUGAAUUUAACAUUUUAAUUCAAAAUAAUAAUGAAGGGGAAUAAACUCCAGAAAUAAUACGCACAAAACUAACGUUUAAACUAUAUGAAGCAACAAAAACAUGAGAGCGAACUCGUAUGAGCUUACGUGUGAAAAUGUAGUUCCCUUUCCACUAAUAUCCCCCGGGCUUCUGCUAGUGACAAGUAUAUAAUUAUAUGUUUAAGAUUAAGAGUUCUUGGUAUAAUGUAUUAAGUCUACCGCUGCUUAAUAUGCAGUAGGAAUCAAUUAAAUACUUCUUGGUAUCAGCCUGAAAUUAUAGCUGACCGUAUUUGGUGUAUACGUGUCCAUUGGUUGCAUAGUUAAUCUAAAAGCUGUUCUUAGGUAAUUGUGGCACAAUCUACUCAAUUUCUUUAAUAUGAUCAUGUAAAAAAUAAAACAAACGUUCAAAAAUAUUAAAAAGAAAAGAAAUGUUUACUACAUUAUAGGUAUUGGAAAACAAAUUACGAAGGGAAAAGGGACUUCGAAAGGCAGUAAAUUUACCCUGAUAAGGUGUGUGUUCAAACCUAAAAAUUACAUAAUUACGUUUGAUUUAAUUUGUAAAUUGGGUUGUUACAAUAUUCUGGCGCAGUUAUCGCCACCUCUUAUUUAGUCAUUGCAAUAUCAGGGGCGGAUCCAGCCAUUUAAAAAAGGGGGUCCCAACCCAGAGUAAUGGGGGGGGGGGGGUUCCAACUAUAUGCUCCCAUUCAAAUGCAUUGAUCGUCCAAAAAAGGGGGUUCCAGCAAUGAAUGUAUUAUAUAAUACUUUUAUUAUUACCAGUAAAAUCAAAAUUAUUAAGCAUUGAAUAUCAAAAUCAAAAACUUUGGAAUUAUGAAAUAACUGUUACUAAUUUGAGCGAACAAUAUCGCAUUACCAAAGAGAAUUAUUUACAAUCAAACGGUGUUGUAGUACAUGUAAACAUAAAAUUGAGAACGGAAAUGGGGAAUGUGUCAAAGAGACAACAACCCGACCACAGAAAAAACAACUGCAGAAGGUCACCAAUAGGUCUUCAAUGCAGCGAGAAAUUCCCGCACCCACAGGCGUCCUUCAGCUGGCCCCUAAACAAAUAUGUAUACUAGUUCAGUGAUAAUGAACGCCAUACUAAACUCCAAAUUAUACACAAGAAACUAAAAUUAAAAAUAAUACAAGACUAACAAAGGCCAGAGGCUCCUGGCUUGGGACAGGCACAAAAACAACAUAUAUAAAAAGACAUUAACUUACUUAAAGAAUUGACCAUGGAUGAGAUUAAAAAAUUUGUCAUCUUAGCCGGAAGACAAAAAUAAAUCUUCAAAAUUCAUGGACAAUAGUAACACGGACCAUAAAACUCGUCACUUACAAAUCUGUUCUUCCUAGGUAAGAAGGAUAACUCAGAUGUACAAGAAAAUUUACAAGAAGUACUAGUUAACUAAAUGAUUAUCCCCCUUUAUAAGUAUUGUUGUCUUCAUUGUUCUACGUAUUUGUGCUUCCAAAACGUUAGAGCUAUAACACGCGUUUAAGAUGUGUGAUAAACUGAGAAGGUGAGAGUGUGGUCUAAAUAUUUGGGGUAAAACAGUGGGAAUAUGAAUAUAGGGAGUAAAAAUGUGGGAUCAAGGGGAAAAAAAAGAAAAAAGUGAGAAGUGCGAGAGAAAAAAAAAGGAAAUAAGGAAAUCUUGUCACCCCCUCACACGUUUGGUUUUGUGCUUCUCUGAAGAAAUUUGUUAAAGAAAUAAAUCUAGCGGUAUUCAAUAUUGACAAGUGCCUAUAGCUAUACAUAUGGGAUCAGUUUUUCAUUGCCUUAACAUCUGCCUGGAAUUGUUAGGAGAAAUGGUCUAGAAAAUUUUGUAAAACAGUUUUAGAAGAAUAAUGCAUGGCUCUGAAAUUACUAAAUUUUAAAGAAUUUGAUCUGAUCUUUUUAGACAUAAUUAAUAGCAAGGCCAUACAUAUAAUUUCAGGUAUUCUAUUCUCUGGAAGAUAUCCCAAGUGAGAACAACAAGGUAUAGUUAACAUUAUAUGAUGAAUUCCGCUUCAUUUCUCAUGAAACUUACUUCGCAAAGGAUUUGAUUUUAGUCUAUGAAGUCAUGCUAGAGUUGCAAAGCACGUUCUUGUUUUGACUGCAGAUAUUGCCAUUUCUGUCCUUCAUAGUUUAGUUGCUUUAUUAUGUGCUUGCAUAAUUUGAUUUUACAUGUAUAUGCUUUUUGAUUCUGGCAUUUUUACACAUGCACAGUUCAACGGUAGAUCAGUUCUGGUUAGAAAUGAUCUAAAACAAAUUACUGCGACAGUUCAGAAGAGAAGUUCGAAAUGAUCAUAACCCGCCUAGUGGAGAAUAUUUGACAGGCAGUCAACGGUCUGCAGUCGUAACCAAAUUUCCUAAUUGAUUGCUGGGUGUUUACUGCCACUUUUAGCAAUAUUGGCAAUAUCAUCAUGGUCAAUUUAUUGGUGAACGAGCCGGAGUGCUCGGAGAUAACUACCGACCUUUGACAGGAAAACUGGCAUUCAUAGUCAAUUAAGAUUGGAAUCGAACGUGUUGUGCGGGAUUUGAGUUCACAACCACAGUGUUGACACGCCCUUGAUACAGUAGAGAAAUUAUAUAGACCAAUCAGCUGUUCAGAUCUCCUAAUUCGCUGAAUGACAAGAUAUAAAUAACGUGUUGCAAUGGAAAACUACUUUCAAGGUUUCUGACUUUGAACAGGCAUGUGAAUAUUGUGGCGGCUUUUACUGGGUUAUUGAUAUUUAAAUUUUUCAGUCUCUUUUAAAAUUUCCAUGCAGUUUAUAGAAAGUGUUAUGAAUCCAUACAAAGGUUGAUACACUGAUACAAAACAGUCUGCAGGAUAGUGCCGUUUUAAAAUAGCCCAUGGAGAAUUAAUCUAAUAAAAAGAAGUGCAAACUGAUUUUACAGCAUGGCGUUUAUCUGAGUGUACCUGAAAAUGAGGUAUUUAAACACAAACACGAAUGCAUUACACACAGGUGUACUGAUAGUCUAGUAGUAGGAUGGGGUGGGGGUGGGUUGGUGAACACUAAAAUGCGUGUAAAAUCCCGCCCUAUUAACUAUCUGUUCAAAGUCAACUAUAAUUCAGUGUCUGUCGUUGAUUUCUGUCUGACAUAUUUGUGUCCUAUAUAUUGUUUCAUUUUGUCAUUUUGUUUCGCCGGGCGAUUUUAUAGAUUAUUCAAUGUACGGGUUUUAUUAUAAUAUGAUACAGAAUGCGGCGAAUAGGCUAUAUUCUGUUGGUCACGACUGUGAAAGGAAAUGUGACAUCAAAUAGUAAUACACAUUUUUUUAUUCAUGAAUUAUGGAGGUUGUACAUGUAUGCAGAUCUGACACUAUACCAUUACAUGUAGUUCUGAAUAACUAUUUUUACAAUCUUUAUAUAGACUUUUUGGAUUUAAAUUGUUAAGGUUAGGAACAAGUAAAUCGAUUUUUUUUUAAUUUCACAGCGACAGUAAUACUAUCAUCUUUACCAUGUUCCGAGGUUAAUAAAUAUAAUCAUUUUUACCAUAUAUUUAUCUUAUAACUAGAAAUCGGUCAUCAUCGAGUGACAACAUCAGUAAGCUAGGUUCACACUGCCGAUCAGAUAAACUCUAUGAUCCCGAUUGUCCAAAUUUCCACGACCAAGCUCAACCAAAUUCUUGAUCGGGCCUGUUUACGACUUCUACCCGACCGCCAUCCGACUGUACACGACCUUAACUAGACCAUUCACGACUCCUUAAAGACUCCAUCACGACAACAAAAAGAAUACUUAUUCGAUAAUUCCGAUCAAUUCACGAUCUUUACUCGACUAGCUAGACCAAAUCAACUAUUUACGAUCUCAGCCUGAUCUCGACCAGACCAGAUCGACAUAAUCGUACAUUUUAUAUGGGUCGUAGGGAUAAUCGGGAAUUGGUCGGGUAUGCAAUUUUUAGUAUAAAAACGUCAGAACUAUUCAUCGAGCACAAGUUUUGUGCCGUUUGUUAUAGUUUGUUAAACGUUGUGUGCCGUUUGUUAUAGUUUGUUAAACGUAACAGAAGUAGAAACAAAUGUAUCUUUUGGUUAGAGUGGAUUGAAAUUUUGAGUAAUUUUAGACAAUGUUUUGAGUUAUUACGACAAGCAAGAACACAUUUCAAUAAUUGAUUUAAUGUUAAAGUUAGAAAGAAAUGCAUCGUUUGAACUAACAAACGACGAACGGCAAACUGUAGACGCAUUUUCAGCGAAUGUAUAAUUGUUUGUCAAAGUUAAUGCAAACUUGCAAAAGUAUGUUAGAAACAAAUGAUCAAAACUUGUGCUCGCUGAAUAUUUUGUAUCGUUAUUGUUAGAAAGAAUUCGCACCAAAUAAAAAAUAACUGUCUUUCGUCUCAUUUUUGUGUGAAUUUACGUCAAAAAGUUCGAAUGAAAAAAAAAAUUCCUGUAAGGUGACCUAUACUAUUGUUAUGCGUUUACUUUUCUACAUUGGCUAGAGGUAUAGGGGGAGGGUUGAUAUCUCACAAACAUGUUUAACCUCGCCGCAUUUUUGCGCCCUGUCCCAAGUCAGGAGCCUCUGGCCUUUGUUAGUCUUGUAUUAUUUUAAUUUUAGUUUCUUGUGUACAAUUUGGAAAUUAGUAUGGCGUUCAUUAUCACUGCACUAGUAUAUAUUUGUUUAGGGGCCAGCUGAAGGACGCCUCCGGGUGCGGGAAUUUCUCGCUACAUUGAAGACCUGUUGGUGACCUUCUGCUGUUGUUUUUUUCUAUGGUCGGGUUGUUGUCUCUUUGGCCCAUUCCCCAUUUCCAUUCUCAAUUUUAUAGUUUUUAUUGAUAAUUUCUGUGUCAUUUGGUUUUUGGUGAAGAGCUGUCUUAUUGAUAAUUGUACCACAUCUUCUUUUUUCAUGCUACAAACAUUUGUGGACAAACGGUAAAUACAGACAGACAAAACAGAAAAUAGCCCAUAAAACGGUUAAAAUAUAAUCUUGACGUUCUUAUAAACCAACUUUGAAAGAUAACUUAGUCACAGCAGUCUAACAAUGAAUAUUAUUGCACAUUUACUUUAAUAUUUGGAAAAUCCGCCGGUGCCAAAAUUGCAGGAUUUUCUUCCCUUCCGGACAUCUGAGAUCAUCCCAGGUUUUGUUGGGUUACGUGUUGCUAAGUUUUUAGUUUUCUAUGUAAUGUGGACUGCUGUUUGUCUUCUCAUCGGUUACCGUUUUUCGCUAUGGCUAUGUCGGUUUGUUUUCGACCUCUGAGUUUGAUUGUUCCUUUAGUGUCUAUUGUCUCUCUUUUAAAAUGUAACAUUUCCUUGCAAAAGUAAAGACACGUACUGUGCAUGGAGGAAUUUUUGUAAGUUAAAAAUAAUGUUGCAUAUAUAUUGUUGCGGAAGCAUAGUUAUGAGAGUUAAUCAGAUCUGCACAAACUUUUAGAGAAUCGUGUAGCAGUCUUGUGUUCUCGUGUAUAGCCGAGUAGAGAUCGAAGAGUGGUCGAAUUUGGUCGCGAAGGGAUCGGGUAUUGGUCGACUAAGUCUGGGAUAAUAUAAAUAUACAAGUCGCAGUGAUCUGGAAGCGAUCGGGCAUUGGUCGAGUAAAUCUGGAAAUGAUCGGAUAUUAGUCGAGCAAAGGUCGAAAUGAUCGAGUACUGAUUGGUAAAUUUUUUGUAUAUUCCGACCAAACUCGAUCUCUACACGAUCCUUUCCCGAUCAAUUCGACCGCUACUCGUCGACUUCUCGAUCUCUUCUCGAGUGACUUGAUCCUCGAUCCUUACUCGAAUGUUUUUGACAUGUCAAAAACUCUCGGGUAGAAUGUCAGAUCGAUGACGAGCAAGGUAGACUAUCCCGCACAUUCAUGUCGAUUGAGACAGACCAGUCUCCCGAUCACGUAAUUUGUCUUGAUCGGGCUUGAUCGAGUUGAUCUGAUCGGCAGUGUAAACCUAGCUUUAACUGAGCUAUCAAUUUGGCUGUGUUUGGCAAAACCUUUCUGAACUUUGGGUCGCCAAAUGCGCUUCAACUUCGUCCUUUAUUUGGCCUGGUUAUUUUUUUUAUUCGAAAUUCACUGAUAAGUGUUUUAGAAGACGAAAAGCACACCUGACGUACACAAUUUUUAAUCCCAGGUUUCUCUUCUCUGAUAAGUUUAUUACCGUACUAGCACCAAACACACUAUACAUUGUACAUAAAAGGAAAAAAUGGAAAUGAAAACUUAUUGUGUUAUGCAGAUAUGAGAAAAGGGUAUGCGUUAUAACAAUGUAUCAAUUUUGACAGUGAGUGCUUUGACCACAUUAUGUGAUGCUAUAGCAACGUAUAUGUCGAUCAGGUCUUGAUACAAUUUUUUCCCCCCUUCCUGACAUGUUUCCAAUUUUAUAACUCGUUCAGAAUGUUAGACACACCAAUAAGCAAAUAAUGAUUUCAAGAGGGCGUUUAUAUCGACUGAAACUAAUUGCUUUGCACCACCAUGCGAAGUAAAUCAAGCAUGACAGACAGAAGCAAAUGACAAUCACUUAACCAAAGCUCUUGAAUUAAGAAAUUCACAUUAAAAUUGGGCGGGCUUUAAAAUGUUUGUGAACGCCUAGCCCUCCCCUUACCUGAAACGGGGGUGUGACAUCGCAACAUAAGGGACAUACAAACAGGGACAUACAAACAAUCAGGAAUGGGCCGGACUCGUAAGCCGACAAAAGCAACGAACAAAAAGACAAAAUACAUAAACUAUUUAUGUUUUAAUGUUCGCAGUUAUUGGAAGCUAGAUCAAAGUCAAUUACAGCUAAUAAAUAAAUCAUGUUUACAAGACUAAAAUACAUGCAUCAUCAUUACACAUCUAACUGAUGAAGUAUUUGACUGUGUGUAAUUUAUAGGUGUUCGUUCGUCCAUAAAAAUAGUACAUACAAAGAGAAUAUGUUACAUUGAUAUGAAUACAUAUAUAUGAAGAUGUUGUGUGAUUAUGAAUGAGCAAAAUACAUACCAUAUCAUGAAAAGCCAAUAUCCAUAGAUGGCGAACUGUGAUUCAAUUUAAAAGAGACUAUCAACAUUCUGACACUAACUAAGGGAGCUACUAUUUGAUUAUUUUUUUUUUUUGGGGGGGGGGGGGGGGUGCUACUAUAAAAAAAAAAUUGUCCUGCAAUUUUUUUUAGCUGUAAUCUCUGUCCUGCCUUUUUAUUUUUAACUCUGUUCGGUCCUGCCUUUUUUUUUCUUUAGUUUAUCCUGACUUUUUUUUACCUAAAUUGUCGUCCUAACUUUUUUUUGCAAGUGUCUCAUACUGCCUUUUUUUUUACUCAAAACUCCUGUCCUGUCUAUUUUUUUCAAAUUUCAUCCUAGCCCCCCAUAAAAAUCAAAUGGUAGCUCCCUAAAUGCUAUAAACGAGAAAACAAAUAGGAUAAACAACAACUAAAGACAAACGACUGCAAUAGGAGCUAGCGAAUAAUGAAAGGCACAUCAACAAUGUGGUGGGGUGAAAGAUUGUCAAUUUGUCAGCGUUUGUAACAACAGUGGUGUAACCACAAAACAUUAGAACAAACUUAACAUCAGUUGAAAGGGACUUUAUAACUCAUAUGUUUUCAGCUCGACACGAAGCUCAACAAUUAAACAACAAAAAAAAACACCAAAAAAUUCUCAAAAUACUAUCUAAGAGUUCUCGCUGUUGAUGAAAACUAAUUAAAAAUCUAUAUCAACGUUUUUAUUAGAUUUUUUAUGUUUGGCUUUGAUUUUUUUAUUUAAUUUUAUUUUAAACAUAUUUAUUUAAAGUGGAUUGGGAAACAAGUUAUUGCAACUUACAUUGUAUAUUAAUCCCUUUUCGCUUUGCGGGUACGAGUGCUGCCUUGUAGUGUCAUUAGUCUGUUCUUUUUCGAAAUCAACAAAGGUGUCUUCCACGUGCAAGAGAUAUGUCUGUCUCAAAAAACGGGUCAGCCAUUUAUCGUUCCCUUCCGACGAACUAUCAUCGUUUCUCAAGACAAUACUCGCAAAUGAUUGUCAAGGGAGAGCCGAAAAUUCAGUUCCUGAAAUGUUCUCCCCGGAAUGGGGAUCGAAACAGGAACCUUUGUGUUACGUAGUAGUCCGAUGCACUCACCACUACAUGUACAUCACGGCUUAAAGACAUUAAUUGUCGAAAUGCGCAUCUGAUUCACUUUUAGGAAUGUUGGUCCUCAAUGCUCUUCAUCUUCGUACUUUAUUUGGCCAUUUUAACUUUUUUGGAUUCGAGCGUCACUGAUGAGUCUUUGUAGACGAAACGCGCGUCUGGUGUUUUUACAAAAUUUAAUCCAGAUAUUUAUGAUGAGUUUAUUUAUCAGUAAAAUUGGUACCGUAUAAUGUUAUUAUUAAUUUAAUAUAUAAGCCAUGCUUUCUAUUUAACUUUGAAUUUUACUGGUCCAAUGUUCAAGUUCACAAGGUACAAAUGUAGCAAUCUACCGAAAUACGUAUCUCAAAACCCCGGCACGUAAUACGUUUGUACAUGACGACAAGUGUAAUUACACACAGCAUGCGUAGGCGUAUAAUAUAUACGUUUAAUGAGUUGGUUUGACCAAGCCGGCGAGGCUUUUUGAUGAGAGUAUGAUACCGCAGCGGUUAGUUAAGCGUUACGCGUAGAAAUAAGAUAUCUGCCGAUGGUAAGAUUGAAUGAAAUGUUUCGGAGGCUAGUUAGACUUUCUGUUUGGAAAGAUCGUCACGUUAGCACUGCGCUUGCUCCAAAUGUGUCAUAUUCAUUUACCCAAACUACUAAUGCAUACAUGUAGGGAGUAGCGGUUUAUUAUUUUUUUUCACAAUAACUGCAUUUCGUGAUGCAGUCACUGUGCUUGUCUGACAUCAUAUGUCCGCUAGGUCUCUUAGGUGCAAUUUGAAGUAAUUAUAACAUGGUUCAAGACUUCAAAAUUGCAUUGGGUAUUUGGCAAACAAUACUAAUGGCUAAAACGUUAUGUUCAUAAACUUGAGUUAAAUGUUGCCGAUCCUAGAUCCAUAUUCAUGAUUCAUGCCCACUCUAUAAUUUUAUUUAUCAAUUUGGAAUUUCCAAUUAAAGGGUGCAGUGUCUGUUCAGUUCUAUGCCUGGCGUAUCCCUCGAUUGUAUUAAGUGAUAUGUCAAUGAUUGUUAAUAAUAAUCUUUACUGUCAUAUAAACAAAUUAAACUUGUUUGUGACAAAAUUGACUACCAGUCUUAGCAAACAUAAAUGCCGGGAAAGAAAGAAGUGCUAGACAAAUAUUCAAAAAGCAUGUCCGCUUUUUAUCUUCAAUUACACGUACAAUGUAUUAUUGAUGAGAAUAGCUUUAUUUUUUAGGAAUUUUGGUCCUCAAUGGUCUUCAACUUCGUACUUUAUUUGGCCUUUUUAAUAUUUUUUAUUCGAGUGUCAACGAUGAGUCUUUUGUAGACGAAACGCGCGUCUGGCGUUAUAUAAAAUUUCAAUCCUGGUAUCUAUGAUGGGUUUAUUUAUAGCUUGAAGCCACUAAAAUGUGUGACUCGUGCUUCAAAAUGAGGGGUCCGUAUAUAUAAGUAAACUUCUGUCCAUAUACAAAAAGUAAAAUCACAAAAAUACUGAACUUACAGGAAAAUCAAUUCGGAAAGUCCAUAAUCACAUGGCAAAAUUAAAUAACAAAACGCAUCAAAAACGAAUGGACAAGAACUGUUAUAAACCUGACUGUGAAGAGAGUGUCACAACUACAUGUAUUUGAGGGAUCCGUAGGUGACCUGUUGCAAGGCACAAAUGUUCCCAUAUACCCUGUUUUUUUCAUUUGCAGUCUAAAUUCCUUCACCUUCAUACCAGAUGACCUCUACUACAGGACCUACCUGUUGUAUUUAUUUUCAAUUAGUUCUUGUCCUGAACAUGCAUGAAAUAUGUGUCACUGCACACUGAAAAACAAAGAAUCAAUAAAAUAAAUUAGCAUUUGAAAGCACUGCAUAUCAAAAAAAAUUAUGAUUUCAAUAUAGUAUAUGAUACACCUUAUCGCUAUUUAGUCCAAUCCAAGAAAAACAGUCAUUAUACAACUUCCUGUUUGGGUCACGCCGCCGAAAAUAGAGGUCAUUAGUAGUGAGCUGAGGGAUGAAAAACUUCAGAAAGCGAUCAUCAAGAAACUUUGGUAGAGUAUGACCCUUUUUUCGAAAUAAAAAUUGAGGUAAAAAAAUAUUUUGUUUGAAGUAUUUACGGUAGUUUAAACGGGUCUCGUUAAAAAGUAUCAUGCAUGGUGAAUUGUUUAAACAGGGUCCCAGAUAGCCUCAACUGGAUGAAAAAGUUGUGUAAUUUUAGAACUUAUCCGGAAUUGAAUAAAUAGCGAUUAGGUGUUUUGUCAGUGCACAUUUUGUGAUAAUAGGUUUGCAAUAGUCGAGAAGUUAUCUAUUGUGAAAUUGCAUGAUGGAUUUUGGUAUACUUCACAGAUUUGAAUUUGUACUCGAGAUGAAAUGUAAGGGAGCUACCAUUUGAUUUUUAUGGGGGGACUAGGAUGAAAUUUGAAAAAAAUAGGCAGGACAGGAGUUUUGAGUAAAAAAAAAGGCAGGAUGAGACAUUUGCAAAAAAAAAAGUCAGGACGACAAUUUAGGUAAAAAAAAGUCAGGAUAAACUAAAAAAAAAAGGCAGGACCGAACAGAGUGAAAAAUAAAAAGGCAGGACAGAGAUCACAGCUAAAAAAAAUGCAGGACAAAAUUUUUCAUCCUAGCCCCCA
rnacentral:lncRNA from 1 species